UAAUUAAAGAGACAAGCGAAUUAAAAAUGGUUCCCUUUUAAGGAGAAUGAGGAAAUCGAGCACAAAGUACAUUAAACGAUUUUGGAGCUAUUUCACGGUGCACCCCUUUUUCCUCCAUUGAAGCUUAAUUGUGAGCUUUUUUUCCUCCAUUGAUGAAGCUUCCGAGUUUUAAGUAUGGAAUUAGCUGUUCCUUCCAUGUCAGAUGGUGAAGAAGAUGCUGAUGAUGAAACUGAUGAAGAGCGUCUUCAAACUAUAAGCAUUCUUAGCAAUUGCAUCUGCAAUUCACCAAAACAUUAAGCUUUAAGGAUUUCCUUCUGUGCUACUGAAGAGGAUUCUGUUGUUUACGGCUGAUUUCUUGGGUUACAAACUAAAUCAUGGAAUGCAAUAGUUUGUCACCUAAGAUGCAGCACUUUUCAGCAUCUUUCAGUUCAGCUCAAAAGGAUAUUUUCACGGGGUUGCGAAGAUUUUGGCAAAGGCAUUGACGAUGGUGAAAAGAUAGGACUAUUUUCAUAUCAAAUGCGAGGAAUGUGGCUCAGGUGAAGAAAAGCAGUUGCAACCGUGUGAUAAGUGCAAUAAAGGUUAUUUUUAUGUCAAAUGCGAGUAAUGUGGUUCAGGCGAAGAAAGGGAGUUGUAACCUUAUUUUUAUGUCAAAUGUGAGAAAUGCGGGUCAGGUGAAGAAAGGGAGUUGUAACCUUAUUAUUAUGUCAAAAUGUCAAAUGCAAGAAAUGCAGGUUAGGCGAAGAAAGAGAGUUGUAACCUUACAUUUAUUUCAAAUGUGAAGAAUGCUGGUCAGGCGAAGAAAGGGAGCCGUAAUCCUGUGAUAAGUGCAAUAAAGGGUUUCGAGCUGUGUUAAAGAUUUAUUUUCUGUCAAGUGUGAAGAAUGCGGGUCGGGUGAAGUAAGGGAGUUGUAACCGUGUGAUAAGUGCAAUCAAGGGUUUCAUAUAAGUUGUGUUUGACCCAUCGUUGUUUGGGUCUCCAUGACCAUUAAUUAGCAGAGUGAGGAAACUCAUUUUAAAAAGUUGUACAUUUUUAUUUUGUUUUUGAAAUUCAAUGCUUGCAUCGCGGGCAUUUAAAUUAAUUGAGCACAUUGAUAAUUAGUAGUAUAAUGAAAGUUGUCGAACCCUCUUAUUA